rnacentral:rRNA from 1 species
AGGCGUAGUCGAUGGACAACGGGUUGAUAUUCCCGUACCCGUGUGUGGGCGCCCGUGACGAAUCAGCGGUACUAACCACCCAAAACCGGAUCGAUCACUCCCCUUCGGGGGUGUGGAGUUCUGGGGCUGCGUGGGAACUUCGCUGGUAGUAGUCAAGCGAAGGGGUGACGCAGGAAGGUAGCCGUACCAGUCAGUGGUAACACUGGGGCAAGCCGGUAGGGAGAGCGAUAGGCAAAUCCGUCGCUCACUAAUCCUGAGAGGUGACGCAUAGCCGGUUGAGGCGAAUUCGGUGAUCCUCUGCUGCCAAGAAAAGCCUCUAGCGAGCACACACACGGCCCGUACCCCAAACCGACACAGGUGGUCAGGUAGAGCAUACCAAGGCGUACGAGAUAACUAUGGUUAAGGAACUCGGCAAAAUGCCCCCGUAACUUCGGGAGAAGGGGGACCGGAAUAUCGUGAACACCCUUGCGGUGGGAGCGGGAUCCGGUCGCAGAAACCAGUGAGGAGCGACUGUUUACUAAAAACACAGGUCCGUGCGAAGUCGCAAGACGAUGUAUACGGACUGACGCCUGCCCGGUGCUGGAAGGUUAAGAGGACCCGUUAACCCGCAAGGGUGAAGCGGAGAAUUUAAGCCCCAGUAAACGGCGGUGGUAACUAUAACCAUCCUAAGGUAGCGAAAUUCCUUGUCGGGUAAGUUCCGACCUGCACGAAUGGCGUAACGACUUCUCAACUGUCUCAACCAUAGACUCGGCGAAAUUGCACUACGAGUAAAGAUGCUCGUUACGCGCGGCAGGACGAAAAGACCCCGGGACCUUCACUACAACUUGGUAUUGAUGUUCGGUACGGUUUGUGUAGGAUAGGUGGGAGACUGUGAAACCUCGACGCCAGUUGGGGCGGAGUCGUUGUUGAAAUACCACUCUGAUCGUAUUGGGCAUCUAACCUCGAACCCUGAAUCGGGUUUAGGGACAGUGCCUGGCGGGUAGUUUAACUGGGGCGGUUGCCUCCUAAAAUGUAACGGAGGCGCCCAAAGGUUCCCUCAACCUGGACGGCAAUCAGGUGGCGAGUGUAAAUGCACAAGGGAGCUUGACUGCGAGACUUACAAGUCAAGCAGGGACGAAAGUCGGGAUUAGUGAUCCGGCACCCCCGAGUGGAAGGGGUGUCGCUCAACGGAUAAAAGGUACCCCGGGGAUAACAGGCUGAUCUUCCCCAAGAGUCCAUAUCGACGGGAUGGUUUGGCACCUCGAUGUCGGCUCGUCGCAUCCUGGGGCUGGAGCAGGUCCCAAGGGUUGGGCUGUUCGCCCAUUAAAGCGGCACGCGAGCUGGGUUUAGAACGUCGUGAGACAGUUCGGUCUCUAUCCGCCGCGCGCGUCAGAAACUUGAGGAAACCUGUCCCUAGUACGAGAGGACCGGGACGGACGAACCUCUGGUGCACCAGUUGUCCCGCCAGGGGCACCGCUGGAUAGCCACGUUCGGUCAGGAUAACCGCUGAAAGCAUCUAAGCGGGAAACCUUCUCCAAGAUCAGGUUUCUCACCCACUUGG